rnacentral:lncRNA from 1 species
CGGCCGCCAUCCCAUCUGGGAAGUGAGGAGCAUCUCUGCCCGGCCGCCCAUCGUCUGAGAUGUGGGGAGCACCUCUGCCCUGCCACCCCGUCCGGGAUGUGAGGAGCGUCUCUGCCCGGCCGCCCCAUCUGAGAAGUGAGGAGCCCCUCCGCCCGGCAGCCGCCCCGUCUGAGAAGUGAGGAGCCCCUCCGCCCAGCAGCCACCCCGUCUGGGAAGUGAGGAGCGUCUCCGCCCGGCAGCCACCUCGUCCGGGAGGGAGGUGGGGGGG